CAUAUCCAAAAAUAACUAAUGGAUUUAGCGUUGGGCUAUUGAUAAAACGAACAUCACCACCACCGGGUGCCCAAGUAUCAUAAAUACCACCAACAAACAUUGCUUUAAUUACUAAUAAGAAUGAACCAAUUCCUAACAAAACUAAAUGAAUACCUAAGAUUGUAGUCAUUUUAUUCUUAUCACGCCA
rnacentral:antisense_RNA from 14 species